rnacentral:rRNA from 1 species
CAGGAAGCAGCUUGCUGCUUUGCUGACGAGUGGCGGACGGGUGAGUAAUGUCUGGGAAACUGCCUGAUGGAGGGGGAUAACUACUGGAAACGGUGGCUAAUACCGCAUAACGUCGCAAGACCAAAGAGGGGGACCUUCGGGCCUCUUGCCAUCAGAUGUGCCCAGAUGGGAUUAGCUUGUUGGUGAGGUAACGGCUCACCAAGGCGACGAUCCCUAGCUGGUCUGAGAGGAUGACCAGCCACACUGGAACUGAGACACGGUCCAGACUCCUACGGGAGGCAGCAGUGGGGAAUAUUGCACAAUGGGCGCAAGCCUGAUGCAGCCAUGCCGCGUGUAUGAAGAAGGCCUUCGGGUUGUAAAGUACUUUCAGCGGGGAGGAAGGUGUUGUGGUUAAUAACCGCAGCAAUUGACGUUACCCGCAGAAGAAGCACCGGCUAACUCCGUGCCAGCAGCCGCGGUAAUACGGAGGGUGCAAGCGUUAAUCGGAAUUACUGGGCGUAAAGCGCACGCAGGCGGUCUGUCAAGUCGGAUGUGAAAUCCCCGGGCUCAACCUGGGAACUGCAUUCGAAACUGGCAGGCUUGAGUCUUGUAGAGGGGGGUAGAAUUCCAGGUGUAGCGGUGAAAUGCGUAGAGAUCUGGAGGAAUACCGGUGGCGAAGGCGGCCCCCUGGACAAAGACUGACGCUCAGGUGCGAAAGCGUGGGGAGCAAACAGGAUUAGAUACCCUGGUAGUCCACGCCGUAAACGAUGUCUACUUGGAGGUUGUGCCCUUGAGGCGUGGCUUCCGGAGCUAACGCGUUAAGUAGACCGCCUGGGGAGUACGGCCGCAAGGUUAAAACUCAAAUGAAUUGACGGGGGCCCGCACAAGCGGUGGAGCAUGUGGUUUAAUUCGAUGCAACGCGAAGAACCUUACCUGGUCUUGACAUCCACAGAACUUUCCAGAGAUGGACUGGUGCCUUCGGGAACUGUGAGACAGGUGCUGCAUGGCUGUCGUCAGCUCGUGUUGUGAAAUGUUGGGUUAAGUCCCGCAACGAGCGCAACCCUUAUCCUUUGUUGCCAGCGGUCCGGCCGGGAACUCAAAGGAGACUGCCAGUGAUAAACUGGAGGAAGGUGGGGAUGACGUCAAGUCAUCAUGGCCCUUACGACCAGGGCUACACACGUGCUACAAUGGCGCAUACAAAGAGAAGCGACCUCGCGAGAGCAAGCGGACCUCAUAAAGUGCGUCGUAGUCCGGAUUGGAGUCUGCAACUCGACUCCAUGAAGUCGGAAUCGCUAGUAAUCGUGGAUCAGAAUGCCACGGUGAAUACGUUCCCGGGCCUUGUACACACCGCCCGUCACACCAUGGGAGUGGGUUGCAAAAGAAGUAGGUAGCUUAACCUUCGGGAGGGCGCUUACCACUUUGUGAUUCAUGACUGGGGUGAAGUCGUAACAAGGUAACCGUAGGGGAACCUGC